UAACACGUGGGUAACCUGCCCUAAAGUCUGGGAUACCACUUGGAAACAGGUGCUAAUACCGGAUAACAACAAUAGCUGCAUGGCUAUUGCUUAAAAGGCGGCGAAAGCUGUCGCUAAAGGAUGGACCCGCGGUGCAUUAGCUAGUUGGUAAGGUAAUGGCUUACCAAGGCGACGAUGCAUAGCCGAGUUGAGAGACUGAUCGGCCACAUUGGGACUGAGACACGGCCCAAACUCCUACGGAAGGCAGCAG
rnacentral:rRNA from 1 species